rnacentral:misc_RNA from 1 species
GCGGAAGAUCAUUAAUAAAUUUUUUUUGAAAUAAAAAAAUAAUAAUCAUCUACCCUUGUGAUUUGUUUGUUGAAUAAUUUUUUAAAUAUUAUUGUCUAUCCAAGUUGGAAAGUGAAAGCUUGAAGACUUGGAGCGGCAUAAAUAAGUUAAGACUUUUUUUAAAAUUAAACUUUUUGUAUCAUUGUCAAAUAAUUUUAUAUAUAUAAAACAAUUUUGACAAUGGAUCUCUGUUCUCGCAACGAUGAAGAACGCAGCAAAUGCGAUAGUAUGUGAAUUGCAGAAUACGUGAAUCAUCGAAUCUUCGAACGCAUAUUGCACUUUUUAGUUUACUAAAAAAGUAUGUCUGUUUGAGUAUCAGUAAAAUAUUCUCAUAAAAUUUUUAAUUUUAUGGUUAUGAGUGUUUUACACGAUAAACAAGUUGUUCCACUUUAAAUUGAAUUUUUGAAGAAAUUCUUUAAUUCAAAUUAAAUUGGAUAAAUUUCCGUAAAAGAUAACUAUACAAGUUUAAUAAGAAUUAGUGUUUCUUUAUGAAAGGAAAUUAUUAAAUAACUGAUCUCAAAUCAGAUAAGAGUACCGCUGAACUUAAGCAUAUCAAUAAGCGGAGGAAAAGAACUAACAAGGAUCCCUAGUAACGGCGAGUGAAGCGGAAGAGCUCAAAUUUGAAAUCUUAAAGGUUUCCUUUACGAUUGUAUUAAAGAAGUGUUUUCUGCUGAGGUUUUGGUAAAGUUCUUUGGAUAGGACAUCAUAGAGGGUGAGAAUCCCGUAUUUGACCUUUACUUUCAACUUUGUGAUACACUUCAAAGAGUCGGAUUGUUGGGAAUGCAGUCCAAAAUGGUGGUAAUUCAUCUAAAGCUAAAUAUGGCGAGAGACCGAUAGCGAACAAGUACCGUGAGGGAAAAUGAAAAGAACUUUGAAAAGAGAGUUAAACAGUACGUGAAUUGUCAAAAGGGAAGCGUUGACACCAGUGUUGUUUUCUGAAAUCAAUUAAGAACUGUUUAUGCUAAGUGUUUAGACUUAUCGCUACUGUUAGUUUGAGCUUUUCUUUAAUGCACUUUUCAGUUAACAAGUCACAUCAAUUUCUUUUGCUGUAAAAAGCUUGAGGAAGGUGGCUGAGAUUCGUCUUAAGUGUUAUAGCUCUUGCCUAUGCAGUCGGAGAGAUUGAGGUCUGCGCGUAGAUCCUUCGGGCUAAAUGCAUUGUGCUAAGUUAUAGCAUUUAUAGACAACUUGUUGACUAUGAUUGUCUUGUAGCUUACUCGCUUAUGUUAUUUACCUACGCUUAGGAUGUUGAC